rnacentral:rRNA from 1 species
UACGUAGGGUGCAAGCGUUGUCCGGAAUUAUUGGGCGUAAAGAGCUCGUAGGCGGUCUGUCGCGUCGGAUGUGGAAACCCGGAACUCAACUCCGGGCCUGCAUUCGAUACGGGCAGACUUGAGUACUGCAGGGGAGACUGGAAUUCCUGGUGUAGCGGUGGAAUGCGCAGAUAUCAGGAGGAACACCGGUGGCGAAGGCGGGUCUCUGGGCAGAAACUGACGCUGAGGAGCGAAAGCGUGGGGAGCGAACAGG